GUGAGCAUAGAAGAGGAAUAAGAGGGCCUAAGAGCAGUGGGGAUGGAAGCAUGGAGGAAGGCCUAGAUUUCAUUUUGAGCCUUCCUGAUGCCUCCCGUUCCUAUCGUUCUUAGGAGCUCAUUCCUCUUCCUUUUAGCG
rfam:Setaria italica strain Yugu1 chromosome III, whole genome shotgun sequence.